UACGUAGGGGGCUAGCGUUGUCCGGAAUCAUUGGGCGUAAAGAGCGCGUAGGCGGCCCGGUAAGUCCGCUGUGAAAGUCCAGGGCUCAACCCUGGAAUGCCAGUGGAAACUGUCGGGCUAGAGUACGGAAGAGGCGAGUGGAAUUCCUGGUGUAGCGGUGGAAUGCGCAGAUAUCAGGAAGAACACCUAUGGCGAAGGCAGCUCUCUGGGACGGUACUGACGCUGAGACGCGAAAGCGUGGGGAGCGAACAGG
rnacentral:rRNA from 1 species